rnacentral:rRNA from 1 species
UUCGACCUCAAAUCAGGUAGGACUACCCGCUGAACUUAAGCAUAUCAAUAAGCGGAGGAAAAGAAACCAACAGGGAUUGCCUUAGUAGCGGCGAGUGAAGCGGCAAAAGCUCAAAUUUGAAAUCUGGCACUUUCAGUGUCCGAGUUGUAAUUUGAAGAAGGUAUCUUUGGGUGCUGGAAUCUUGUGUACGUUU